rnacentral:lncRNA from 1 species
GAAGGGUCUCUUCCACCAGCCCUGGGGGAAGCGUGUUCGAGAGCACAAACUCCGCAUCAUGAUUAGAAACAGCGCCACCUUCCUGCAGUAGAGUGGAGAGAGAGACGCGUUUGAGAAGAGGGGCAUUGUGGAGCAGUGCUGUCAUUUUUCUUCUGCGAUGACCUGGAGAAUUACUGUAACACAAAGAAAUCACCAGUGCUACUUCUGCAUAUACUUCACCUGAGUAAUGAUAACUAGAACCUAUUAAGUGCCGCAGGUUUGAGCCUGUUUGGAUGUGAUCAGGAGUAAAUGAGGGUUUAUUUGAAAUGUUACACAAUGGAUAUGUUUCCAAUAAAACAAAUGCAAACAUAUAUAGCUGUUUGCUUUUAUUGGCACAAACAAGUCUGCCCUUAUGAAGAUGAACUGAUUUCAUUACAAUACAACCAUAAAACCAUGGUUAUUGUACAUGUUAACCACAAAAUCAUCACAGUUUUGCUGCAGUAGCCACAGUUUAACCAUAUUUGUUAUAUAAAUAUGUUCAUACAGAUGAAAACAUGGCUACUACACUUUUGCUUUAAUAAAUGCAUGGUCAAUGAU